GACGAACGCUGGCGGCGUGCCUAAUACAUGCAAGUCGAACGCACUCUCGUUUAGAUUGAAGGAGCUUGCUCCUGAUUGAUAAACAUUUGAGUGAGUGGCGGACGGGUGAGUAACACGUGGGUGACCUGCCCUAAAGUGGGGGAUAACAUUUGGAAACAGGUGCUAAUACCGCAUAAAACCUAACACCGCAUGGUGUAGGGUUGAAAGAUGGUUUCGGCUAUCACUUUAGGAUGGACCCGCGGUGCAUAGUUAGUUGGUGAGGUAAAGGCUCACCAAGACCGUGAUGCAUAGCCGACCUGAGAGGGUAAUCGGCCACACUGGGACUGAGACACGGCCCAGACUCCUACGGGAGGCAGCCAGUAGGGAAUCUUCCACAAUGGACGAAA
rnacentral:rRNA from 1 species